AUUGAACGCUGGCGGCAGGCCUAACACAUGCAAGUCGAGCGGUAGAGAGGUGCUUGCAUCUCUUGAGAGCGGCGGACGGGUGAGUAAUGCCUAGGAAUCUGCCUAGUGGUGGGGGAUAAACGUUCGGAAACGGACGCUAAUACCGCAUACGUCCUACGGGAGAAAGCGGGGGAUCUUCGGACCUCGCGCCAUUAGAUGAGCCUAGGUCGGAUUAGCUAGUUGGUGAGGUAAUGGCUCACCAAGGCGACGAUCCGUAACUGGUCUGAGAGGAUGAUCAGUCACACUGGAACUGAGACACGGUCCAGACUCCUACGGGAGGCAGCAGUGGGGGAAUAUUGGACAAUGGGCGGAAAGCCUGAUCAGCCAUGCCGCGUGUGUGAAGAAGGUCUUCGGAUUGUAAAGCACUUUAAGUUGGGUAGGAAGGGUAGUAACCUAAUA
rnacentral:rRNA from 1 species